rnacentral:rRNA from 1 species
GACGAACGCUGGCGGCGUGCCUAAUACAUGCAAGUAGAACGCUGAAGGAGGAGCUUGCUCUUCUGGAUGAGUUGCGAACGGGUGAGUAACGCGUAGGUAACCUGCCUGGUAGCGGGGGAUAACUAUUGGAAACGAUAGCUAAUACCGCAUAACAGUAGAUGUUGCAUGACAUUUGCUUAAAAGGUGCAAUUGCACCACUACCAGAUGGACCUGCGUUGUAUUAGCUAGUUGGUGGGGUAACGGCUCACCAAGGCGACGAUACAUAGCCGACCUGAGAGGGUGAUCGGCCACACUGGGACUGAGACACGGCCCAGACUCCUACGGGAGGCAGCAGUAGGGAAUCUUCGGCAAAGGACGGAAGUCUGACCGAGCAACGCCGCGUGAGUGAAGAAGGUUUUCGGAUCGUAAAGCUCUGUUGUAAGAGAAGAACGAGUGUGAGAGUGGAAAGUUCACACUGUGACGGUAUCUUACCAGAAAGGGACGGCUAACUACGU